AGCAGCCGCGGUAAUUCCAGCUCCAAUAGCGUAUAUUAAAGUUGCUGCAGUUAAAAAGCUCGUAGUUGAAUUUCGGGACCAAUAUGUCGGUCGUGCCUCGGUACGUACUGGCAUCGUUGGUUUCUCCCUUCUGACGAACCAUGAUGUCAUUUAUUUGGUGUCGUGGGGAAUCAGGACUGUUACUUUGAAAAAAUUAGAGUGUUUAAAGCAGGCUCACGCUUGAAUACAUUAGCAUGGAAUAAUGAAAUAGGACGUUUGAUUCUAUUUUGUUGGUUUCUAGGAUCGACGUAAUGAUUAAUAGGGAUAGUUGGGGGCAUUAGUAUUCAAUUGUCAGAGGUGAAAUUCUUGGAUUUUAUUGAAGACUAACUACUGCGAAAGCAUUUGCCAAGGAUGUUUUCAUUAAUCAAGAACGAAAGUUAGGGGAUCGAAGACGAUCAGAUACGUCGUAGU
rnacentral:rRNA from 1 species